rnacentral:tRNA from 1 species
CUCCCCUUGGUGAAAUUGGAUAUCACGCUAGCCUCCUAAGCUUGAAUUUCAGGUUCGACUCCUGAAGGGGAGA